UUGGUACGGGAGGCAGCAGUAGGGAAUCUUCGGCAAUGGACGGAAGUCUGACCGAGCAACGCCGCGUGAGUGAAGAAGGUUAGGUAUGUAUACUUAUUUGCAUGUAUCACAUGAAUAAGGACCGGCUAAUUCCGUGCCAGCAGCCGCGGUAAUCCAA
rnacentral:rRNA from 1 species